GUCAGAUAAGCAUCCUUUAAAAAAAAGAAAAAAGAAAAGAAAGAAAAGAAAUCCAUCUAGUUUCUGACGAAUUAACAGGUGUACACCACACUCUAGGAUUAUCACCACGAGGUGUAUAAGAUCCCAGAAUUCAGCAACGAUGUUAAUGGGGAGGCCAAAGAGACACAGCCCAUUUUUUUAGUCCAAGUUGAGGAAGAUGCAAGAAUUCCAAUGAAGGACCAGGCUUGAGAUAGAUACGCUUUCAAAGUGGUUGCUCCAGAAGGCCUUCAACAUCAAGAGACAAAAGAUUGAACAGCCUGGGAGUG
rnacentral:lncRNA from 1 species